rnacentral:rRNA from 1 species
AACUAACGCUGGCGGCGUGCCUAACACAUGCAAGUCGUACGAGAAAGCCGGCUUCGGCUGGUGAGUAAAGUGGCGCACGGGUGAGUAACGCGUGGAUAAUCUGCCCUUAAGUGUGGAAUAACGUACCGAAAGGUGCGCUAAUACCGCAUAAUGCCUGGCAACACAAGUUGUCCGGCCAAAGAAGGCCUCUGUUUACAAGCUUUCGCUUCAGGAUGAGUCCGCGUACCAUUAGCUUGUUGGUGGGGUAAUGGCCUACCAAGGCUGCGAUGGUUAGCUGGUCUGAGAGGAUGAUCAGCCACACUGGAACUGAGACACGGUCCAGACUCCUACGGGAGGCAGCAGUGAGGAAUAUUGCGCAAUGGGGGCAACCCUGACGCAGCGACGCCGCGUGAGUGAAGAAGGUCUUCGGAUCGUAAAACUCUGUCCUUGGUGAAGAAAGGACGGUAGCCAAGGAGGAAGCCCCGGCUAACUACGUGCCAGCAGCCGCGGUAAUC